rnacentral:rRNA from 1 species
CACGUAGGCACCAAGCGUUGUCCGGAUUUAUUGGGCGUAAAGAGCUCGUAGGCGGUUCGGUAAGUCGGGUGUGAAAACUCUGGGCUCAACCCAGAGCCGCCACCCGAUACUGCUGUGACUCGAGUGCGGUAGGGGAGCGGGGAAUUCCUGGUGUAGCGGUGAAAUGCGCAGAUAUCAGGAGGAACACCAGUGGCGAAGGCGCCGCUCUGGGCCGUGACUGACGCUGAGGCACGAAAGCGUGGGUAGCAAACAGG